rnacentral:miRNA from 1 species
AAGUGUAUGUGUGUGUGUCUGAGUAUGUGUGUCAGUGUGUGUGUGCACGCGUAUAUAUAUAUAUAUAUAUAUAUAUAUAUAUAUAUAUACAUACACACACACACACACACACACACACACACACAAGU